rnacentral:rRNA from 1 species
ACGGGUGAGAACGCGUGAGAAUCUGCCCCAAGGAGGGGGAUAACGGCUGGAAACGGCCGCUAAUACCCCAUAUGCCGAGAGGUGAAAAGAGUUAUCGCCUUGGGAUGAGCUCGCGUCUGAUUAGCUAGUUGGUGGGGUAAGAGCCUACCACGGCAUCGAUCAGUAGCUGGUCUGAGAGGAUGAUCAGCCACACUGGGAGUGAGACACGGCCCAGACUCUUACGGGAGGCAGCACUGGGGAAUUUUCCGCAAUGGGCGAAAGCCCGACGGAGCAACGCCGCGUGAGGGAUGAAGGCCUCUGGGCUGUAAACCUCUUUUCUCAAGGAAGAAGAACUGACGGUACUUGAGGAAUAAGCCACGGCUAAUUCCGUGCCAGCAGCCGCGGUAAUACGGGAGUGGCAAGCGUUAUCCGGAAUUAUUGGGCGUAAAGCGUCCGCAGGCGGUCUUGAAAGUCUGUUGUUAAAUGCGUGGAGCUUAACUCCAUUUCAGCAAUGGAAACUAGAAGACUAGAGUGUGGUAGGGGCAGAGGGAAUUCCCGGUGUAGCGGUGAAAUGCGUAGAUAUCGGGAAGAACACCAGUGGCGAAGGCGCUCUGCUGGCCA